AGGGGUAAGCCUAGUAACGGCGAGUGAAGCGGCAACAGCUCAAAUUUGAAAUCUGGCGUCUUCGGCGUCCGAGUUGUAAUUUGUAGAGGAUGCUUCUAGGUAGCCACCGGUCUAAGUUCCUUGGAACAGGACGUCAUAGAGGGUGAGAAUCCCGUAUGCGACCGGCCGGCUCCUUCUACGUAGCUCCUUCGACGAGUCGAGUUGUUUGGGAAUGCAGCUCUAAAUGGGAGGUAAAUUUCUUCUAAAGCUAAAUACCGGCCAGAGACCGAUAGCGCACAAGUUGAGUGAUCGAAAGAUGAAAAGCACUUUGGAAAGAGAGUUAAAAAGCACGUGAAAUUGUUGAAAGGGAAGCGCUUGCAACCAGACUUGUAGGCGGUGUUCAGCCGGUCUUCUGACCGGUCCACUCACCGUCCGCAGGCCAGCAUCAUCUGCGGCCGCCGGAUAAAAGCGGUAGGAAUGUAGCUCCCUCGGGAGUGUUAUA
rnacentral:rRNA from 1 species